GGUCCGCUGGCUCAAUGGCAGAGCGUCUGACUACGAUUGUGUAAUCAGGAGGUUCCAGGUUCGACCCCUGGGUGGAUCG